rnacentral:rRNA from 1 species
UACGGGGGGGGCAAGCGUUGUUCGGAAUUACUGGGCGUAAAGGGUUUGUAGGGGGCUUGCUAAGUCAGACGUGAAAUCCCUCAGCUUAACUGGGGAACUGCGUCUGAGACUGGUGAGCUUGAGUGCAGGAGAGGAACGCGGAAUUCCAGGUGUAGCGGUGAAAUGCGUAGAUAUCUGGAGGAACACCGGUGGCGAAGGCGGCGUUCUGGACUGCAACUGACACUGAGGAACGAAAGCCAGGGGAGCAAACGGG